rnacentral:rRNA from 1 species
GACGAACGCUGGCGGCGUGCCUAAUACAUGCCAGUAGAACGCCGUUGCGAACGGGUGAGUAACGCGUAGGUAACUGCCUCAUAGCGGGGGAUAAAUAUUGGAAACGAUUGCUAAUACCGCAUUCUGUGAGAUGGACCUGAGUUGCAUUCGGUAGUUGGUGAGGUUAAGGCUCACCAAGGCGACGAUACAUAGCCGACCUGAGAGGGUGAACGGCCACAAUUGGACUGGGAAACGGCCCAGGCUCCUAAGGGAGGCAGCAGUAGGGGAUCUUCGGCAAUGGGCGGAAGUCUGACCGCGCAACGCCGCGUGAUUGAAGAAGGGUUUCGGAUCGUAAAGCUCUGUUGUUAGAGAAGCGUUAACUAACCAGAAAGGGACGGCUAACUACGUGCCAGCAGCCGCGGUAAUUC